rnacentral:lncRNA from 1 species
UGAGAUUUCCAAUGGCUUCACUCGAAGGGAUGGUAGGUGUAGGAUUUUGAGUUGAGCAUCACAUGGAAAUUUUUCCUUAGUAUUUCCUCGACCCCCUUUAACAGUACGGUGUUUACUAUGGUUCAAGAAAGAAAAAAACAAAACUAUGAAAACGAAAGUCUUCAAGCUUCGUAUUCCUUGCAUGAAUAUCAAGUCUUCACGGACACACCAAUUUCUUCACUUUCAAAGUCUUCAGGAAUAACAAAAUCUUCAAUCGAAGAUAUUCAUUUUUAGGGGUCGACUUUCUCUGUAAAUAUCAAACUCCUCAUAGACUUAUAGACCUGUGUACACUCAUAAACACAUUAGUCCCUUAACCUAUAAGUCUUCAAUACACCAAAAUCACUAAGGGGCACUAGAUGCACUUACAUACUUGAAAAUAACUAAACAGUUCACUGCCAAGCUGACGACCUACAACAGCUUCGCUUCAAUUUUAGUGGUACACCACCACGUGAGUUUCAGGGUUCACAUUUGUGAAUUUUGAUUCGAUAAACACGCAAACUAUUCCAGAAAAUUUCAAAAUCAUUAUGUCAUGAAUUCAUCAAUGAAAAUGAGCUAUUGCGAGACACAGCAGUACAUAAAAGAUAAACAAGCAAAGAACCUAAACUACUCUAUGAAAUGUUCAAGUGCCUCAAUCAACAAAACAUGAGCAAACUGGAUAAAGAUUAAAUGUUCUAAGGUAGAUUUUCAAACCCUUAGGUGGUGGUUACCUGGAUGUAGAUUUGUUGGCUUCAGUGAAGCCUGAAAUUGGCCUUGCAGAUUAGUUCACAAUGAGAACAAUCAGAUCCAUUGAUCAAUGGGCCCUACAGAUUGGUGAGCAAUUAAUGAGCAAUGGGCCUUGCAGAUUAGUUCACAAUCAAUCAGAUCCUUGAGAUAAAAGCCAGGAACUCAUCCAUCUGCAAUCACAAUGAGAAAAUUUCCAUUUGUAGGCAAAUGGUAGAAAUAACAGCACAUGAAUUGGUGAGACUGUAAUUGACAACAUAAAAGCUGGGGCCACAAGGUAUAGAACAUCAUUCAGAUAACAAAUUGGUAAUAUAGAAUUUCCAACAGUCAAGGAAAUAUUAUUUAAUUGACUUGCUAUGAAUGUGCUAGCAAACGCAUAAUGAGAAACAUUUAGAAAGUAAUGCAAUAAACAUAGAACAAGCCUACUAAAAACAGUUGAGUUCACAACUCAGCCUAGAUAAUAGUGCAUAACUUGGCGAGCAGAAGCAAUGGUGAUGAACACACAAGUACCAUUACAUGACAAUAAUUCAAGUACAGAAUAAUGCAUUGGCUUUAUUAUAAUUAGAUGUAGCACAUUUAAAAACAAUGGCCUUCUAAAAUUUGCAACCAUAUUUAAUAAAUAUCAGAGCAAAUUAACAACGCAAUAUGAACUAAGUAUUGCGAAGAACAAAAAUGUUGACUACAUGUCAUAAAUUCACAACAAACAUUAGAGUAAGACAAUAAAUUCACAACAAUCAACAACUCAAUAUUAUAGCAUACACAAUAAGAAGGAGCAAUGGGUGAUUACCAGAAGCCUAUCAGAGAAGUAUACUGGAGAUGAUGGAGGGGCGAUCUGCUUUCACUUCAGACAACAGCUUGAAGAAAGCUCACAGACCCAAACAUACUCGAAGGGACCAAGGGGUGAUCUACUUGGCACCUUGGAGCUUGCCCUAAGUGGGUCUGCCUAAGAGCACCGCAAGGUUCACCUCAUUUUGCUUUUUCCCUUGCUCCACCUUUGCACCUAUGCAGCAACCAACAAAUCCACCAUUACAAAUCUGGCAGACCCAAACGAACCAGAUGAAGUGAAGGGCGAAACCUAACACACCUGAACGAACCAGAAGAAGGGAAUAUGGUGAUCUGCUUGUACUCACCUCACACAGCAGCUUGUCCUCCAAGAGGACCGCUUUGUUAACCUUCACCUUUUGCUUUCGCUAGCUGCACCUCUGCAGCGACCAAAGCCUGAAUAAUUCCUACACAGGUUCACAGGGCUGGUGAGACUUUUAAUAGAGCAGCCAGCAAAUUUUGCACAUCUAAUUGGUAAAAAAAUACAAUUAACAAUGCUUAGAAACAACUAAACAGUUCACUGCCAAGCUGAUGACAUAAAACAGCUUUGCUUCAAUUUUUGUGACACAGACUCUCAAAAUAGCAAAAAUAGAAUGCCACAAAAUUUCAUUAAUACUUGAUCAUGCAAGACACACAGUAAUUUAUAAAAUGCAAAACAAAGAACCCAAACUACUCUCUGAAAUGUUUUAGUGCCUCAUUUAGCAAAACAUUAGGAAGCUGGAUAAAGAUUAACAGUUCCAAAGUAAACUUGGAUGGUUGCUUGGGCAUAAUCCAUGCGCAAUACUGUUAAAAGGAAAAGAUGGCCAACAAAAAUCUAAAGCAUGAAUAUUUACUACACAAGUUAGCAGGGCUAGUGAGGCUUUAGUAGAGCAGCCAGCAAAAUGUGCAUCUAACAGAAUAUGAUUAUGUUAAAAAAGCUCAAAAAUAACUAAAGGGUUCACCGCCAAGCUGACGACAUACAACAGCUUUGCUUCAAUUUUAGUGGUACACCACCACCUGAGUUUCAGGGUUUCGAUUCGAUAAACAUGGCAAAUUAUUCCACAAAAAUUCUAAACUUGAUAAUUAUGUCACGAAUUAAUCAAUGAAAAUGAGCUAUUGCAAGACACAGCAGUAUACAAAAGACAAACAAGCAAAGAACCUAAACUACUCUCUGAAAUCCACAAAACAUGAGCAAGCUAGAUAUAUAAAGAUUAAAUGUUCCAAGGUACAGUAAAAACCCUUAGGUGGUGGAUUCCUGGAUGUAGAUUUGCUGGCUUCGGUGAAGCAAAGCCUUGCAGAUUAGUUCACGAUCAAUCAGAUCCUUGAGAUAAAAGCCAGGGACCCAUUGACC